rnacentral:rRNA from 1 species
UAGGGAAUCUUCGGCAAUGGGGGGAACCCUGACCGAGCAACGCCGCGUGAGUGAAGAAGGGUUUCGGAUCGUAAAGCUCUGUUGUUAAGGAAGAACAAGUGUGAGAAUGGAAAGUUCAUGCUGUGACGGUACUUAACCAGAAAGGGACGGCUAACGACGUGCCAGCAGCCGCGGUAAUACGUAGGUCCCGAGCGUUGUCAGGAUUGAUUGGGCGUAAAGCGAGCGCAGGCGGUUAGAAAAGCCUGAAGUGAAAGGCAGUGGCUCAACCAUUGUAGGCUUUGAAAACUGUUUAACUUGGGUGCAGAAGGGGGGAGUGGAAUUCCAUGUGUCGCGGUGAACUGCGUAGAUCUAUGGAGGAACACCGGUGGCGAAAGCGGCUCUCUGGUCUGUAACUGACGCUGAGGCUCGAAAGCGUGGGGAGCGAACAGG